rnacentral:rRNA from 1 species
GUGGUAAUGCCGGAUGUUCCACAUGAUCGCAUGUGAUUGUGGGAAAGAUUCUAUCGGCGUGGGAUGGGGUCGCGUCCUAUCAGCUUGUUGGUGAGGUAACGGCUCACCAAGGCUUCGACGGGUAGCCGGCCUGAGAGGGCGACCGGCCACAUUGGGACUGAGAUACGGCCCAGACUCCUACGGGAGGCAGCAGUGGGGAAUAUUGCACAAUGGGCGCAAGCCUGAUGCAGCGACGCCGCGUGAGGGAUGGAGGCCUUCGGGUUGUAAACCUCUUUUGUUUGGGAGCAAGCCUUCGGGUGAGUGUACCUUUCGAAUAAGCGCCGGCUAACUACGUGCCAGCAGCCGCGGUAAUACGUAGGGCGCAAGCGUUAUCCGGAUUUAUUGGGCGUAAAGGGCUCGUAGGCGGCUCGUCGCGUCCGGUGUGAAAGUCCAUCGCUUAACGGUGGAUCUGCGCCGGGUACGGGCGGGCUGGAGUGCGGUAGGGGAGACUGGAAUUCCCGGUGUAACGGUGGAAUGUGUAGAUAUCGGGAAAGAACACCA